AUUGAACGCUGGCGGCAGGCCUAACACAUGCAAGUCGAACGCGUGGCGGACGGGUGAGUAAUGUCUGGGAAACUGCCUGAUGGACGGGGAUAACUCCUGGCCACGGUCGCUAAUACCGCCUACCCUCUGAUCUGCCCAGAUGGGAUUCGCUUGUUGGUGGGGUAACGGCUCACCAAGGCCACGAUCCCUAGCUGGUCUGAGAGCAUGACCAGCCACACUGGAACUGAGACACGGUCCAGACUCCUACGGGAGGCAGCAGUGGGGAAUAUUGCACAAUGGGCGCAAGCCGGAUGCAGCCAUGCCGCGGGUAUGAAGAAGGCCUUCGGGUUGUAAAGUACUUUCAGCGGGGAGGCGUUACCCGCAGAAGAAGCACCGGCUAACUCCGUGCCAGCAGCCGCGGUAAUUC
rnacentral:rRNA from 1 species